rnacentral:tRNA from 1 species
UGGCGUAGCGCGCAAAGCCUCGGCUUGCUACGCCGAAGGUCCCGGGUUCGAUUCCCGG